UCGCCGAUCCGCUCGCGUCUCCUCUCCGCCUCAGCUCGCAUCGCAGCUGCUGUACCAGCUCGUGCCGGAGCCGUUCGGCCACCUCCGGCCGCCGUUCGGGUCCCGCCUUGGUCCGGUUUGACCCCCCAACCUUCCCCGAUCCUUCCCCAUCUCAUCCAAGCUCCGGAUCUACCCUUCCUCGGCCUCAAACCGCCAUGGACAGCAGCCAAGAAAAAUGGGUAUGGCAGCCCCUUCGUGGCCCGUUUUGGCCGCCUUCCCGAGCCCGGAUGCUCGGCCCGCUUUGAGGAAAGUCGAUCCUCGCGUCGUCCCCGUCGUUUUGGUUCGCUCGGCUCGUUAAUCCGGUGAGUUUAACUCACUAAAUCUUGAUUAGAGGGUUAAUGAUGCCCUAAGUGUGCUUAGUCUAAGUUAAGCAAGUUUAGGUGGUUAGAUUAGUUUAUUUGAUUGAUGAUUAGAUUAGGAUGUUUAAUUAAGUUAAAGUGUGGUUAGUUUAAAGUUAAGUGUGUUUAUUUUUAAAAUAAAUCCUUGAUGUGACAUAAUAGGGUUUUAUUUUUGAAUUAUUUAAAGAUUUCGAAAUUCUGGAAAUUUAUAAUAUUAUAUUAAUUCCGAAAUUAUUAAAAUAUUAUUAUUAUUAAAAAAAAAAAAAAACGGAAAAAUUAUUUUUGACCCCGGUUGCUCAGAAUUUCGUGCCGAUCGCUGCUGUGUGUUCGGAUUUUGAAAUUGAUGGUCGGAUAAUAUAAAUUGAAUGUGGAUUGCGAAAAAUGUGAAUAUUAUUAUUUAAUUAAUUUUCGGAAUAAAUUUAAUUAUUUAUUAAAAUUCGAAAAUUUCGUCGGGACCUUAUACUCUCAGAAUUUCGUGCUGAUCGCUGCUGUGCAUUUAGAAUUUGAAUUUGAUGAAUUGAUGUGGCAAAUUGAGUGUUGAUUGUGAUAAAUAUGGAUCUCAUUCAUAAAAACCCACGUGUCGGGUUUUGUUGCAAAAAUUGGAUUUUAAUGAUUAUAUUAAAUAGUGGGGUUUGAAAAAGGUGAGAUAUUAGCUUGUUGAUUCGAAAUUGGUGUGUCCCCACACACGUGAGUUAUUUCUGGAAUAUUUUUAAUAUGAAGAAAAAUGGCCGGGACCACUAUUUUAAGUUGAAGCAUUGAUUUAAGUAUAAAGUGUCCUGGGGCCGAGUAUGUUUUGGCUGUGUGAUAACUAAGAGGAACCGUCCUGGGCUGUUGAGCCGGACUUGCCCCUAUAUGGGAUGCCCACGCGGUGGAUGCGGGUCGCAGUAGAUUCUGGGCCCAUGCUCCUUCGGGAAUGCCGUCGACGUACUGACGAAGCCGCGCUCCAUGGGGGGAGGCGAUGCCUGGCAUUAGUGUCAGAAGAUAGCCGAACAGCGAGUAGGCUAUGCCCUUGUGUGGCAGUGAAUAAUAACUGGAAUGCAUGUUGGGUGUUAUUGAUGUGUCGGAUUAUGGGACGGAAUUGUGUGGCAUGGAAUGGGACGUGUCAUAACGAUUUAGUCUUAUAAUCAGGACCCCCGUGGUUGUUGGUGUCACGCCCCGAUCCUCAGGCACGUGCACAUCCUUCUAUUUGGUCGAUUUUAUAAUGCGAUAUCCCAGGACAAAGUAUCGCCGACCCUUUCAUUAACUAGCACAUGCGGAAGCAGUUAAAAUCCCCAGACAAUAAAACGAUGGGAUAGAAAAGCAGGGCCAUAUUUUUCAUAUUGAAAUUUAUAACCACACUUUUAUACAAAACACAAACCAUAACAAUUCACAACUUUUUAUUCUAAGCUCUAUUCACAUCAAAAUGGAGAUAUCAAAGAAGAUAACAUCUCAGUCCACCUGGGCCGUCCUCAAGGCCCUUCUCAAGAUUAUCUUCUUCUUCCAAAAAUCCUUCUCCAACUCUUCCUCCUCAGCUCCUUAGCGGGGUCCUGAAAUGGUUUUCCCCAAACUGGGAUGAGACUACGUCUCAGCGAGUUCUACCCCACUAAGCCCGAUUAGUAAACCAUUAUACUAAAGGCUGCCUAAACACACAUAGGUCAGAAGGCGUACCUUAGCAUCAUAUCCCACCUGCAAGUCAGUACAAUUCACAAUAGGCACUCAAGCAAUCGUAUCACCGAUCAAGGCAUCAAUCAAAUCGACCUAGUCGAUGACAAUUCAACAAGACCACUCACGGUCAUUCCCAUUCAGUCAAUCAAUUCACAACAUCAAAUCAAAACAAUGAUCAAUCGACCUUGUCGAUUACAUGUCAACCUGACCAUUUCCCGGUCAUUCAAACUAUUGCUAUUCAGAGUCCCACUCAGCAACAUUCAAUAUUUAAUGGCUUUACGGUCCCACUCGACCCCUUGCAAGAUUUAAUGGCUUUACGGUCCCACUCGACCCAUUGCAAGAUUUAAUGGCUUUACGGUCCCACUCGACCCCUUGCAAGAUUUAAUGGCUUUACGGUCCCACUCGACCCCUUGCAAGAUUUAAUGGCUUUACGGUCCCACUCGACCCCUUGCAAGAUUUAAUGGCUUUACGGUACCACUCGACCCCUUGCAAGAUUUAAUGGCUUUACGGUCCCACUCGACCCCUUGCAAGAUUUAAUGGCUUUACGGUCCCACUCGACCCCUUGCAAGAUUUAAUGGCUUUACGGUCCCACUCGACCCCUUGCAAGAUUUAAUGGCUUUACGGUCCCACUCGACCCAUUGCAAGAUUUAAUGGCUUUACGGUCCCACUCGACCCCUUGCAAGAUUUAAUUUGGCACAAUUCAAAGCUCAAAUAAAUAAACGGACUGCGUCACGACAAUCGGUACGAGAUUUCGGUCGUCGGCCAUCUCAAUCUUAAUUUCCGAAAAAUAAAUAAUUAAUUAAUUAAUUUCGAAAUUUAAUUAAUAAAUACUAAUAAUUCAAAUUAGCACAAACUAAAACACAAUUAAACAAACGGGCUUCACCACGGUCAUCAGCAUAAUUUUCCGGUUCCAGGCCAUCUCAGUUGAAUUUUCAGGAAAUAAAUAAUUAAUUAAUUAAUUUCUAAAAUUAAAUAAUUAAUAUUAAAAAUUCAAUUUAGCUUAAAAUAAAGCCCGAUUAAAUAAACAGACUUCACCACGGUCAUCAGCAUAAUAUUCCGGUUCCGAACCAUCUCCCUUGAAUUUUCGGAAAAUAAAUAAUUAUUUAAUUUAAUUCCGAAAAUUAAUAUUUAAAUGCCCAAAAAUCUCACUUAGGCCCGAAUCGCCAAAUUGAAGCCCGAUUAGGGGUCGGAAAAUUCCCGAGAUGCUUCCAAUAAAUAGUAGACCACGUCUACUUGUUAAUUGCACAAUCAAUUUAUUUAAAUCACAUCACAAUUGACUAAUAAUUGCUAAUUAAUUCUAAUCUAACAACCUAAACAUAAUUAAUUAAAACUAAACCAACCUAAAGCAUAAUUAGUCAACUAAUCCAAGAUUAGUGAGAUUACUCACCAAAUCGCCCGCAAAUCGGAUCAAUCCGACGGCGGCGACGCGAGGAACGAUUGUUCCCAAAGCACGGCUCGGGUUCGGGGCCGGGAAACGACCCAAAAGCGGGCCCGAAGUCGCUGAAACCCACUCCGUGGGUCUGCUGGACGGAGCCGAUCGGGCUUGCUCCGGCGGCUAGGGCGGCGAGGGAAAGCCGGCGGAGGGCGAGGGGGUUGCGGGGGAGGUCCGGCGGGGUUGGGCGGUGGCCGGAGGUGGCCGGGGAUGGCUGGACGAAGCUGUAACAGAAGCGAACAGCAGCUGGGUCGCUGGAUCGCACGGCCUGAGCGCGCACGGACGGCGGCGGGCGCACGGGCGCGGCGCGGCGGUGCGGCGGUGCGGCGGCGGGACGAACGGCGAGGGGUUCUCGGCGAGCUGCUGUCUCCGAGCUCCUCGUUCGCACGCAAGGAAGAAAGAAAAACAGAGGGGUUCGGUUGCGUGGGGGAAAAAGUGGGAGAGAAGAGAGAGGAGAGAGAGGGAAGAGAUAAGGGAGAGAAAAGUGAGUGGGUGGGGCUAUUCGCACGAGGGGAAAGGGAAAGGGGAAAGGAGAGAGAGAGAAAAAGAAAAAGAAAGAAAAGAAAAGAGAGGGAGAGAGAGGAAAAAGAAAAGGGAAAUACAUAAUUCUUUUAUGCAAAUUUUCCUUUUCUCUUUCUAUUUUCACUUGGGCUUCAAUUUUCUUCCGAUAAUUUCUUUAUUGAAAUUUCGGACUCGUCAAUAAAUUGACGAGCGAUGAGACAGGAUCCUAAAAUAAGAAUUAUGACGCGCUUAAAAUUCGAUUCCCGAAAUCGAGUUCAAUUUCGUGGUUAAAAAUCGAUCGGACGUGAUUUUAGCUCAAUCUAACCAAUUAGGUAGCUUUUAGGGAUUUUACAGCUGAUACAUCCCUUAACGGCUUCACCCAAUAGGUUAGUUAACUCGUGAGUGAUCAGCUCAGAGAAAAAGGCUAUAGGCACGCCGACGAAAUGCCCAUUUCACUUUAUCGAAACGGGGUCGAAUUUCAGGACGUCACAGUUGGUUAUAUGAAAAAGAAUGCGUUCCGGUUGUUUAAGUUCUUAUUACUAUCUGUGAUUGAGUGAUUUGAAAUUGUGCUAACCUGCAGGAAGGAACUGAGGCGAGGUAAGUCUUCUGUGUGAUGUGGCUAGGCCACCCGGGGUGUAUUUUCUUUCUAAUAGGGGUUUAGGGGGUUGAACUUGCUGAGACAUCGUCUCAUCCCGGUUGUGGGAUUAAAAUUUCAGGUCCCUGGUGGGCGGAGCGACCAGAUAGCUUUGGUUGGGAUUGAGGAGUUGCAGAGGGAAGUUAUAAGGAUUGGAGGACGUGCCCGACUUGUAGGCCAUAGGACAAUUCCUUUUUAAGAGCCUUGUCUUGUGUAGACUGUUGGCCGUAGACCUCUGUUUGUAAUUCUGUUGAGUUAUGUAAGUGAUUGGUUGUGAAAUUGUUUCCUGCUUUUCUAUCCCGUAUUUUAUGGUCAGGGGUUUUAUAAUACGUUCCGCUUGCGCA
rnacentral:lncRNA from 1 species